CAGGAAGGAUAAAGGUGGAGGCAUGGAGACAAAAUUGGAGAUGUUGGCCAAUGAACCAAAGGCUAAGAAACUGGUAACAGAUCUGACUGACAUCCAACUUCCUGAUAUAAAGGCUGACCAACUAACAGAGGAACAGAUCGCUGGUAAAAAAAUAGUUUAGGGAUGCGUUCAUGUUGUUUGAUAAAAAUGGAG